UGCCAUUUUAUUGAUUACAGAGAAACAAAGAAUCUGACUCCAGAAUCUACAUGAAUUGAAUAACCAUUGAAUGAUUACACGAAAGAAUAAAAUAAUUUUUAAGCGUCUUGUUGAUUAUUUUCUCUAGGAGGUUCUGCAUUCUGCAGGAAGGCCCUGAGGAAAUCUCUUUGUAUCAGCGCAGUAAUUGUAAAUCAUGUAAUUCUUCUGCACCCAUUUCAGCCUACUUUGAUUUGUUGAAUCUAGCUCUUGUGAGAACCAAGCACCGUUGCUGGAUGUAGAGGAAGCAGAAUUUGAAGCGCAAGAAGAUUUUCCAUUAGACCAAACACAAGCUUCAGCAUUAAAGUUUCUGUAGGAAGCAGUGAAAGGAGCAUGUGUCCAAUCUGUCUUCACGAGGCCACCUCUUGUGGCCCAGUCAUCAGCAUUCCAGAGAGAAGAGUAUAUUCUCAUUGGCUGAUUCUUUGGGAACGGAACGCCAAUUGACUCUGAGUUCUUAAAUUCUCUUAUGGGCGUGCCAUCAACAGAGAAGCUGAAAAUUAAGUAAACAUUGAUAAGUCUAAGCAGAUUGAAUGACAAGGAAAAAAAACUAAUGAUGGAGAUUGAAGGAAAAUAUUACUUACACAAUGCGCUGAGGAUUCCAGAGGAUAGAAUAGGUGUGAAAGUCAGCAGCGGGGUCAAACCAGAGGUGAAAUUGUUGCUCUCUGUCACCUUUGCCAUUUGUAAAGACAUUGGUAUGAAGAGUGUAAGGGUCACCACUUAAAUUUCCCAAGAAUUCAAAGUCUAUCUCAUCCCAUGUUGAUCCCGGUGAUUUUAGCUGCAUUAAAAAAAAAAAAAAACAGAUAUUUAUAUGUAUCAUCACAUAUGAUUAUUCAACUACGACCCAGUUUGCAUGCAUAAUACUUGCGUAUGAUUAAGUUGUAUUAAAAGAAGGAACUUACGUAAUAAGCAGUGACAGUGCCAGCAGAGUUGCCUGGGACAAGCUUGAGCUGCAUGUCAAUCUUGCCGUAUAGAUACUCAUUCUUGGACUGGAAUCCUGAGCCAGAAGCUUUAUCGAGGGAAAGAGUAAGAAGGUCGCCAUUGUUGAGCAUCUUGGCACGGCCAUCUCCCCAGGUGAUGUCAAAAUCUUUGUAGAAGUUACCAGCAGAUGCAACCAUCAAAGAGCCAAGCACAAGAAACAAAUGCAACGUUGAAGCCAUUGACAUAUGCUUGAGCAAACGAGGUACAAGUAGUGUUUGAAUUAACUGAGAGAAGUUUGUAAUUCGAAAGUGGAGCGAUGAAUGUGUUUAAGACCAUUGUGUUGUAUUUAUAGCCGGUGAAGAUGGGAAAUGUAAAAUGCAGAGGAAAGUGAAGGGAAAGGUCCAGUGAGCUCGGCUGUGGACAGUUGUUGGCUUGAAAAAAGUAUAAUAAAAUAGCUGUGCAUAUCGCACUAACAAGCAUUAUCCGACCAGCCAUAUUUUAUUAUAGCACGCGGUUUUUGCAUUAUUUUUGGGACCAAACGACUUCCGUUUAGUUUAGUAUGUGCCGCUGUCGUGGUCCCACUACCAGCUGACUCUUAUUAGAUUUUCCCACCGCCACUACUAAAGACAGUUGAAUUCACAUGAUGCGACCCUCUCUUCAGAUUUUCAGCUUUUUUUAUUAAUUGAUUCUCAAGGCAAGAGCAAAUGAAUAAUAUUAUAAUAAUACUAAGAAUAACAUAGAACUUAUUAAGAAAUUCCAGAAUUGAAAAUUCUCCUCACUAGCAAUUCAGUGUUCACCCAAGUGACAAUUAUGUUAUAUUUAUUCUGUUUGAAUUCUUAAUUUAGUAACUCCAAAAUUAAUCUUUUAUUGUCAUGUAUAUAAUAUUUAUUUUAUUAUUAAUUAUUUGUUAUCAACCUAAUUAAUAAAUGAUACAUAAAAUGUAAUAUUAAGGAGGAGACAAACUAAAUAUCCGAAUUGGGUUGGCAAUAACCGCAUGACAUUACUCAAAUUUUAUGUUACUGGCGUUGUCUAACACGCGAGACGGUGGUGGGUUUCGCUUGCCAUUCACUUGGACCUAACUGUAUGUAAAAUGAAUGUUUGUUUUGAAAAGGGAACUAGGCGGCGCCUUGUCUUCCCUUUCUUUAUAAACAAUUAACAAAUCAAGCAAAACCGCGUCUGGAAAACUUGGUCUGCGCCAUUUUAAUGAACAGUCAUUUGCUACAUUACUUUGCCAACUAUUACCAAAACGUACUGAAGUUUCCCGUGUAUCUUCUCUCCGUUCAACUCUGCCUAAACUUAUAGGAUAAAAACACCAACUAAGCACAACCUUUUCAUCAUUUCAGAUUCUUUUACAUUUCUAAUACUAUUCACAUGCAAAACAUUCCAGUGGCUUGCUUUCUAGUUUCUUCAUAUAUUCCGUCCAUGUUGAUGGUCAGUUUUGUGAUUUUCUCUCUAAUUGUAGCUUCUUCUGCUAACUUCUACCAAGAUUUUGAUAAUACUCGGGGAGAUAGACUUUGAAUUCUUGGGCAAUUUAAGUGGUGACCCUUACACUCUGCACACCAAUGUAUUCACAAAUGGCAAAGGUGACAGAGAGCAACAAUUUCACCUCUGGUUUGACCUUACUGCCGAUUUUCAUACCUAUUCCAUCCUCUGGAAUCCUCAGCGCAUUGUGUAAGUACUGUUUUUUUCCCUGUCGUUAAUUUGCUUAGACUUAUAACUUUUUUCAUUGUAAUUUCCAGCUUCUCUGUUGAUGGCACCCCCAUAAGAGAAUUCAAGAACUCAGAAUCAAUUGGAGUGCCAUUUCUAAAGAAUCAACCAAUGAGGAUGUACUCUUCUCUACGGAAUGCUGAUGACUAGGCUACAAGAGGUGGCCUUAUCAAGACACAAUGGACACAUGCUCCUUUCGCCGCUUCUUAUAGAAACUUCAAUGCUGAUGCAUGUGUCUCGUCUAAUGGAAUAUCUUCUUGUGCUUCAAGUUCACCUUCCUCUCCAUAUAUCCAACGGCUGCUCCUGGUUCUCACAAGAGCUUGAUUCAACAAGUUAAGAAAGGCUGAAAUGGGUACAAAAGACAUACAUGAUUUACAACUACUGCACCGACGCAAAGAGAUUUCCUCAAGGCCUUCCUUUGAAAAGAAAAAAUCUCCUAAAGAAGUGAUUAAAUCAAACAGAUAAAUCAGUGUAAACUUAUUACAUUCAAUUAUAUGCUCUCUGUAGAGCUAUUCUUUGCAGUCUUGGUCAUCAAUAAAAAGACAGAUUUGUCAUUCUUUAUAUCAGAAGUGUUAUAAUACGAAUUUUAUUGGAAAGAUGCAGAUGUGAUUUAUUAUAAAUUCAAUAUACUUAAUGUAAAAAGACUUAAAAGAUUGAGCUUUACUCAUCUAAAGUUCUCACAGACCAUAUCAACGUGAUCCCUUUCUAGCAUAUUCGCAUCUUAAUUCAUAUGAUAACUGAUACAACAUCAAUACUAUUAUUAUAACUUUAUUUUGAUAUUACAACAUAAAGUUUGAGCAUGAAAUAAACUACAUUAUUUACUUUAACUGUAGAAAUCAAAAUUAGAAUAAAUUGUAUUAUCAUUGAUGUGUUUAGUUUGUCUUGAAAUCUUAGUCAUAAUAAAUUAGACUGUCAUAAAUUACUAAAAAGUUUUUAAUUAAUUAUUAUCAUAAUUAUUAUUUUAUAUUUUAAUUAAUGUAAUUAUUGUUAUUCAGAAAUUAUUAUUAUUAAUUAUUGUUAAUAAUAAUAAUAAUAUCAUUAACAUGAAUAUAUUAAUUAUAAUAUUUUUUUAUCAAUAAUAAUGAUAAUAAUACAUUUGAAAAUCAUAAUAACAAUAAUAAUAAUCAAAAUCAUCAUCAUCAACGACAACAACAAAUCAAAAUCGGAUUUGGAUCAUAAUAUCAUCGUCGUUGUCGACAUCAUCAUCGGUGAUGGUUGUUGUUGCUAGAUCGUUGUUGCUAUUGCUCCUGCUCAACGGUCAGCGACGACCAAUGACGUUGAUUUUUGCAGUAACAGUUUGGUGAAGACGAUGAAAAUCGGUGAGGCUUCAAUUUACAGCGACUGUUUGCUGUGGUUUUUUUUUCUAUUUAAAUUUUUUUAAUUGAAUGAAGGUGUUGAUGCUGAAAUCUGCUCGCCUCUUGACCGACCAGAUUCUUUCACCAACGUUUGUGUUAUCUACUGUUGCUCGUUCACUGGGAUUGGAAUCGUCCUCCUUUCUCUCAAUAGACCUGCACUCACUAAAAAUGGAUCAGAGACGCCGGUGGUUUUGCCGGCGUAAACCCUCCGAUGCCUAAGUUAGCACAAGGUGUUUACGGGAAAACAGUGUAAUUUGGAUUCCAGGAGCUUAUUAAAAAUUUGUAAGGAAAUGGCCUAGUUGCAAUUUGGCAGCGUUUUCCCUCUCUCUUUUUUUUUUUCCCCUUUCUUCACCGAUUUCUUCUUCUUUUAUAGCCGCUGUCCCCACGUUUCCGUUUGCCAUUCAUCCCACCUUUUUCGGGUAGUGGCAGCCCCUCAUGGGAUUUUAACUGCUACAUUGUGGGCAAACGUGGGAUCUCGCAUCUCCCACAACGGUUCUGGGAAAAGCGCAACUACCGCGAUUCUGUGGGAUCGUGUUUCCGCUUUUUGAGGGACGGGUACCGACUCGGUAUACGACUCUGGUCGGUAUUCGUCUCUGAUCAGCUCAUGUUACCCCCUGUUCUGCUCGUACCAUUUGGCUGAGGUGAUUCAUGCCGGGGUGGAAAUAGUAGCAUGGCCGACCUGGUGCUUUUAUUUGCUUAACACCAGUCCCCCAGUUUUUGGUCUUGUGAGUGAAAUGAGUCAAGAGUAGAAACUGAUAGUCAAAUCUUACCAAUCCAGGGGCUUCUCCUCUGAUCUUUCGUCUACCGGGAUGGACCUGAGGUAUCAUUUUUCUUCAGGGGAGAUUUUGACCUGAGCAUGGGCCUAAAUGAGUAUGUCCAUUGCGUAUCUGGGCUUGCAUCUAGCCUGGCCUCUUAUAACGAUUGGUGACGUGGCAUCUCCCGACUCUUCGUAUUUGAAAUUUGAAACGACGGGCUAUCUGUCCUUGAUGUACGGUGAGUGAGCUGGCGUCUCUAUCACUUAAAUGCUUUCAUUUCCCCUUUUUCGUUUCAAAUCCCUAGACUUAUAUCUGCAUCGCUUUGUUAUUCAUCUCUUCAUCGUUAACUAACUCCCUCUCUGAACUUUGCUUACACUUCUCGUGUCUGGAGUAUCCACUCGCUGAAUUUUUUCUCUAUCACGGUCGCGCUAUCAGUGCCAGUUCAAUCCAGGUAUUGCCUUUAACUUCUCCUCUGGUUAUUGUUGAUUGGGUUCUGUGUUGCCCUUUUUGUGUCCAUAUACUCGAGUUUUCUUUGUUUUCUUUUGAGGUUCUGAUAUGUCAAACCGAAAAAGAAAGUUAAUUGUUGAUGAGGAUGAUGAAGAAUCAGGGGAUUCAGGCCUCAACGUGUCAAUACCCACCUAUUUCUUAGGUCCCUCCAGUAAUGUAGGUCCUUCCCAUGGCAGGGAUACCCUUGAGUACCCACGCCCCUUGGUUGUCUCUUCCUUUCCCGAACUAGAGCUUGUAGGGAAUAGAGGUGGACUUGCGUCGGGAUCUGGUGAGAACCACAGCUUUGGUGGGGUUGGGAUCCGUGAAGGAGUUGGCGAUGGUGAGGGGAGCAGUUCCGGACCGAGCGGUCUUGCUAAGAAAAGGAAUAUUGGCCAUAGGGUGGAGGCUGAUUUCUACCCUAUUGAUUACAUAGCCUGUGCCACCACCCAAACUGACUUAUUCAAGCUUAGGAACCUCUACGACAUUCCUGAGGAGGUUCUUCUUGUAGUUCCUGGGAAGGGUGACGUUCCUAGUCGGCCUCCACGGGGGUAUGUGACAAUGCACCUAGAGAGUUUCAAACUAGGAGCUCGGCUGCCCCUUCAGCGUUAUUUUUCCAAAAUAUUGGGGGGUAUGCACCUGGCCCCAGAUCAGCUACACCCGAACGGGUGGAGGGUUCUCUCGGCAAUGUUUGUGUUGUGGUAGAGGUGCGGGUCGGAGGAGCCUUCCCUUGUUGAAGUGAAACAUCUGUAUCAGCUGCGGAGCAGCCCAAGGGAGGCGGGCUGGUAUUACUUCAUGUCCAGUUCCGCAAAGAGAAAGCCAAUCACUGGUUUCCCCUCCUCGUGCAAAAAUUGGAAGAACAAAUUCUUCUUUGCUGGGGGAAAGUGGUGUUCAGCACUCCGUUCGUUGGGUGGUGAUAUUUACCUUCCAACGCAGUUUGUCACCCCAGGUCGUUCAUUUUUUGCCUAUAUUCCUUCUCAAACUGUCACUUAUCGAGUUCUUUAACCUCUUUUGCUAUUUCAGAGUCGUGGGGUUUGAUCGGGGGGCUUAAAGAUUGACCUUUGCUUCAGGUGGAAACUGCUCUGUUGAACGCGUCUACCUGCCAAGACCUCCUGUCGCCAACAAACCUGGUCGGUUCGGGCCUAGUAGACAUAGCCGCUGGAAUGGAUAACAAAAUCCUUAGCGCGAUGAGCAGGAAGCGUGGUCGGGCUCCGAGUAGCUCCAACAACCUUCCCCCUCCUCCAAAGAAACCCAGCGUCUGUCUUUCCAAGGCGCCUGUUCCUGCUCUGCCCCCUCCUCCACCUCGUAAGAGUGGUGGGGAGAAAACCUACGACAAGAGUCCUGAGGUCAGCUUGCAAUCUGAGGACCGAUCUUCUCCUCUUCUAUCUCGGGAUCAAGGUGACUACCUGAGCCCAUAUCAGAAGGAUUAUAAAAAAUCGGUUGGGCCCAAGAUGGUGAAGGACAUCGAGAGCAUGAGUCUCUCCGAGUUAGCUGCUUUUAUUCAAAGAGUCUCCUUCAGGUUGUCCACAAUGGUCUCGUGCUACAAGACCGGGUCCGCGCGUCAUGAGAAGAAGCUUCAAGCUGACAAUCAGGAGUUGAAAAAGAAAGCUGAAUCUGCUGACCGCUCCAAGGAGAAACUAGCCGAGCUGAACAAGCAGAUUACAGAGCUGGAGGAGAAAGUUGCAGUUGCUGAGUCUACUGCCUCCAGGUUUGAGGGUGAGUUGGAUGGCCUGAAGUCGGACCUUCAGGUAACUCAAAGUGAAAGAGAUACUUUGAGGACCGCCCUUGAGGGAGAAAUCAAAUCCCUGAAUGAGCAGCUGGCUGAGGAGAAAGGCAAAUCCGCUGAUGUGGACGAUCGGUUGGAUGCCGAGUAUGACUCGGGGGUUGCUUUCUCCUAUAAGUGUAUCAUGUCUGUGCUUCAGGGAGAAUAUCCCGAGCUGGACAUGAGCAAGUUGGAGGCUGGAGUGCAGCGGUAUAUGGCAGAGGUCGGCCAGGCGGACAAUGAGCAGGGUGAGCAGGAUCAGGUGGAGGCUCCUUUGGAUGAGGUGCAAGAGGGGGAAGCUGGGGGACGUCCUUUCGAAGUGGGUCAAGGGUCCAUGCCUCCUCCUCCCGGCAUUGCUGAUCUCCCACCUCCUGAACUGCUGUACGGCCAAGGCGGAUGUACGGUACAGCAGUUUGUAAACAAUUGAACAUUUAUAAAUUUUUAGAUGCUCUUUAUUUGCUUUCUUGUUCGGUUUUUGCUAAUAGAUUGUUUCUGAAAAACAAUUGGAUAACUUAUCUGAUUUUGCCUGCUGGUUCCUUAGCGAACUGAGCAGGAGUAGACAUUUACUUGCCUUAGUAAAAUUUCCAUAAAACUGGUUGCUUGUCUUCAUUGACCGAGCCGAACUAGGCACUUACUUGCCUUAAUAGGAUUUUUUGUAGAAUUAGCUGCUGGUCUUUCGUUGACCGAGCAGAAGUAGGCAUUUACUUGCCUUAGUAGGAUCUUCGUAGAUUUAGCUGCUGGUCUUUCGUUGACCGAGCAGAAGUAGGCAUUUACUUGCCUUAGUAGGAUCUUCGUAGAUUUAGCUGCUGGUCUUUCGUUGACCGAGCAGAAGUAGGCACUUACUUGCCUUAGUAGAAUCUUCGUAAAUUUAGCUGCUGGUCUUUGGUUAACCGAGCAGAAGUAGGCGCUUACUUGCCUUAGUAGAAUCUUCGUAGAUUUAGCUGCUGGUCUUUCGUUGACCGAGCAGAAGUAGGCACUUACUUGCCUUAGUAGAAUCUUGGUAAAUUUAACUACUGGUCUUUCGUUGACCGAGCAGAAGUAGGCACUUACUUGUCUUAGUAAGAUUUUUUGCUUCAAGCUGACAAUCAGGAGUUGAAAAAGAAAGCUGAAUCUGCUGACCGCUCCAAGGAGAAACUAGCCGAGCUGAACAAGCAGAUUACAGAGCUGGAGGAGAAAGUUGCAGUUGCUGAGUCCACUGCCUCCAAGUUUGAGGGUGAGUUGGGUGGCCUGAAGUCGGACCUUCAGGUAACUCAAAGUGAAAGAGAUACUUUGAGGACCGCCCUUGUGGGAGAAAUCAAAUCCCUGAAUGAGCAGCUGGCUGAGGAGAAAGGCAAAUCCGCUGAUGUGGACGAUCGGUUGGAUGCCGAGUAUGACUCGGGGGUCUCCUGGUCCCGUGGCUCGUAUUACUCUAUACGGGCCUUUCCAUUUUGGGCCAAGAGCACCAUGGUUGGGAUCCCUAGUAUUUUGAUUCACCUUCCUAAGUACCCAAUCUCCUGCUCGGAACUGCCUCACGCGUACAUUCUUGUUGUAAUAACGCGUGACCCUUUGCUGACACUGGGCCACUUUCUGUGAGGCCCCUUCCAUUUUCUCCUCAAGUAGGUCCAGGCUUAAGCAGAUCUGCUCGUCAUUUUCUUCCUCAGCGAAAUAUUCCGUUCGAUGUGUCCCCACUCCAAUCUCUGCUGGGACUACUGCCUCAUGACCAAAAGAUAAAGCGAACGGGGUUUCCCCUGUAGCAGUUUUGUGAGUUGUCCGGUAAGCCCACAAUACCCCUGGUAGCUCGUCAACCCAAGCUCAUUUUUUGAUUGCCAACUUGUGGCAAGCUACCCCGCGAUCAAUUCCGGGCAUAUCUUCAUGAGACCAGGCGAAUAUAUCCGCAUGAGACUGUAGGCAAUUUAUCAGUUCGCCUUUUAUUGCCCCAACCAAUCCUGACCCGAUCUUCACUACUCUGCUCGGGUUGCUUUUGCUUACCGCAACUUCCUCCAGUUUCUCAACAGGCUCUUGGCGGCCCUUUUUAGAGUCUCCUCGAUUAUCUAGAGAGGUAACCUGCAGUGUCUCCUUGGCCGCUGUAGCAUAACAACUCCUUGCCAUCCUCUGGUCACCUUUUACUACGCCAACCACCCCAUUUACUCUGUAUUUCAGUGCCAAGUAAUGCGUGGAUACAACGCAUUGGCUUAUCCUCAUGAAUGGUCUCCCCAGUAUCAUCUGGUAAGGGCUUCUUUCCUCUACCACGACAAAAUCCAGCAUCAUUGUUCUUUCAAAUGGUUUUGUCCCUAUAGUAAUUGGGAGUUCGAUGAUCCCCAUGAGAGUUAACCGUCCCCCUCCAAAUCCCUUUAAGGAUGUAUUUGUCCGCUCAAAUUUCAAGUCUGCGAUCCCCAUAUCAUCUAGAGCCAACUUAAACAGGAUGUCAACCGAGCUGCCUGUGUCUACUAGUAUUCGUCGCAAUUCUGUACCGACCACCAUUGCCUUGAUCACCAAUGCAUCCUCAUGCGGAUAUAAGAUACCCUCUUCAUCGUCAUCUGUCCACAUAAUGGGAACUUGCCGCACUUUUGCCUUCUUGGUUGCCGGCAAAUUGAAAAGCACUUCUUUGCUAGUCAGGGCAUAUCUCCCAUAGUUCUUCCGUGCCCUGUUCGAAUCCCCGGCCAAUGUUGGCCCUCCUGCUAUUACACGGAUGGUCGGCUGUUCACAUUCCAAAUCCCUCUCAACCCCUUCAUCCCGUGUAUAUUGUGAUUCCAUGACAAGGGACAUUCCAUCUACAUACUCGUCUGUUGUAAUAACGCGUGACCCUUUGCUGACACUGGGCCACUUUCUGUGAGGCCCCUUCCAUUUUCUCCUCAAGUAGGUCCAGGCUUAAGCAGAUCUGCUCGUCAUUUUCUAUCAGCUGAACUGCUCGGUUAUCAUGAAUGUCACCUCGGGCUGACACAGUCGCUAACUGAUCUGGUCGACUAGCCAUGGAAUUAGUUGCAUGUGAUGCUCUGGGAGUGUUGUGAUAGGGGUGGGCAGCCAUCUGCCGGAAUUCUCUUUGCCGAUCCGGGAAUGGGGGACGCGGAGGUUGAGCCCGGUUGUGCUGGAACUGCUGUGAUCUCAGAGCCAUGGGGUAAGGGCGGGACCGAGCCGAUAUUCCGCCCAUCACUGAAGAUUCUCCAGCUCGUUUUCCCGACCCGCUCCCUGUCGGGACUCUCCGUUCCUUUCGCCUCAGCUCGUCCAGCUGUUCACUUUUUAUUCUUGCCGAUUUCUCCUCUUCGAUUUCUAUAUCUCGCCUCGCCUGCUCAUACCCCGACGAGUAAUUCUGUACAAGGGGGCUUCUUAAGUUAUACCAUAGUCGGCCGAUUCUUACACCUUCUUUUAAUCCCCUCAACGCCUGCGGGUGAUUAAAAGCUCCCAGAUCCAGCACGGCUCGGUGAUAUCUUUUUACAACCAUUUUGGGCCAAGAGCACCAUGGUUGGGAUCCCUAGUAUUUUGAUUCACCUUCCUAAGUACCCAAUCUCCUGCUCGGAACUGCCUCACGCGUACAUUCUUGUUGUAAUAACGCGUGACCCUUUGCUGACACUGGGCCACUUUCUGUGAGGCCCCUUCCAUUUUCUCCUCAAGUAGGUCCAGGCUUAAGCAGAUCUGCUCGUCAUUUUCUUCCUCAGCGAAAUAUUCCGUUCGAUGUGUCCCCACUCCAAUCUCUGCUGGGACUACUGCCUCAUGACCAAAAGAUAAAGCGAACGGGGUUUCCCCUGUAGCAGUUUUGUGAGUUGUCCGGUAAGCCCACAAUACCCCUGGUAGCUCGUCAACCCAAGCUCAUUGCAGAAUCUGCUCUUAUCCCGUCGGUGAGUCGGUUUUGUUAUUGGGGCUGGAGGGUACAGCAAGCUUCGUCCCUCGAUCCUCUCAUACAAUUCCUCCAUGGAGAUCUUUAACGGAGUGUACUGUCUAUACGCCAAGCUCUGGUCUAUCAGCUGAACUGCUCGGUUAUCAUGAAUGUCACCUCGGGCUGACACAGUCGCUAACUGAUCUGGUCGACUAGCCAUGGAAUUAGUUGCAUGUGAUGCUCUGGGAGUGUUGUGAUAGGGGUGGGCAGCCAUCUGCCGGAAUUCUCUUUGCCGAUCCGGGAAUGGGGGACGCGGAGGUUGAGCCCGGUUGUGCUGGAACUGCUGUGAUCUCAGAGCCAUGGGGUAAGGGCGGGACCGAGCCGAUAUUCCGCCCAUCACUGAAGAUUCUCCAGCUCGUUUUCCCGACCCGCUCCCUGUCGGGACUCUCCGUUCCUUUCGCCUCAGCUCGUCCAGCUGUUCACUUUUUAUUCUUGCCGAUUUCUCCUCUUCGAUUUCUAUAUCUCGCCUCGCCUGCUCAUACCCCGACGAGUAAUUCUGUACAAGGGGGCUUCUUAAGUUAUACCACAGUCGGCCGAUUCUUACACCUUCUUUUAAUCCCCUCAACGCCUGCGGGUGAUUAAAAGCUCCCAGAUCCAGCACGGCUCGGUGAUAUCUUUUUACAAAAUCUCGAAGGGAUUCAUGCUCCUCCUGUUUCAUCCCCAUCAGUUCCAUCAUAUCGUCCUCUGGGGCCAUUGCCCCUCGGAACUGCUCGGCCAACUCCUGGCACAUCUGCUCAUACCCUUUUAUACUUCCUCGGGGCAGCUUGCGGUACCAUUCUCGGGCUCGUCCCUCUAAUGUCAACGGGAACACCCUGCACCUCUGAGCUGAUGUCAGCCCCUGCACACCCGUCAUGUCGUUGAAACGCUCAAUGUGCACCAGCGGGACAUUUCGCCCGGAGUAUUUGAGGUCGGGGAAGCGGAAAUCUCUUGGGAUUAUGGUACUCAUGAUCUCAGUUGAUAACAGAGAUUCUUCAUCUAGCAUUAUCCUCCAGGUCGAGGCUUUCUCUUGCCCUGUAUCUCCUCUAUCACCUACGCCAAUCUGCGCACCUCCCCCUCCAAUUCUAAGGCACGGUCAGGAUCACGUGCAGCUAUAUGGUCUCGUUCCAGCUCGGCAUUGUGUAACCGCUAUCUGAGCUCUCCUUCGUCAACACUGGCACCUCGGCCAUUGACUUCCAGGACCUGUCCGGGGCGAGGUUGGUCCCUCCCUUCAUCCACGCGUUCUCCCGGGACCCGACCAGUACUUCUGUGGGGAUGCACCCCAUUAGGUUGGUCUGCGGGCGGAGGGAUUUCCUCGACUCUACGCCUCCGAAGGCUGGGUUCUACUCCAACUUCAUCUCUUCCCACGGGGGUUUCACAAUCCCUUCUCCGCUCAUCCCUCAGCUCGAACAAUAUGGUUGCGAGAGUCUCCAUUUGUUUCUCCAUCCGCUCCAGUCUAUCUUGCAUCAUCUUCUCUCGGGCUUCAUUUGCAAUUUCCCGGAGAGUGACUGUCUCCCCAGCUUCGUUAUCCUCCCUCAAAGCGUCCUUCCUUGUCACAUCCAUGCCUAACCGUUCGCUGUUUUUCCAGUAACUACUAAUUCGGUGGUAGCUUUUUAUCCAGNNNNNNNNNNNNNNNNNNNNNNNNNNNNNNNNNNNNNNNNNNNNNNNNNNNNNNNNNNNNNNNNNNNNNNNNNNNNNNNNNNNNNNNNNNNNNNNNNNNNNNNNNNNNNNNNNNNNNNNNNNNNNNNNNNNNNNNNNNNNNNNNNNNNNNNNNNNNNNNNNNNNNNNNNNNNNNNNNNNNNNNNNNNNNNNNNNNNNNNNNNNNNNNNNNNNNNNNNNNNNNNNNNNNNNNNNNNNNNNNNNNNNNNNNNNNNNNNNNNNNNNNNNNNNNNNNNNNNNNNNNNNNNNNNNNNNNNNNNNNNNNNNNNNNNNNNNNNNNNNNNNNNNNNNNNNNNNNNNNNNNNNNNNNNNNNNNNNNNNNNNNNNNNNNNNNNNNNNNNNNNNNNNNNNNNNNNNNNNNNNNNNNNNNNNNNNNNNNNNNNNNNNNNNNNNNNNNNNNNNNNNNNNNNNNNNNNNNNNNNNNNNNNNNNNNNNNNNNNNNNNNNNNNNNNNNNNNNNNNNNNNNNNNNNNNNNNNNNNNNNNNNNNNNNNNNNNNNNNNNNNNNNNNNNNNNNNNNNNNNNNNGUUGAUAACGGAGAUUCUUCAUCUAGCAUUAUCCUCCAGCUCGGGGGCUUUCUCUUGCCCUGUAUCUUCUCUAUCACCUGUGCCAAUCUGCGCACCUCCUCCUCCAAUUCUACGGCACGAUCAGGAUCACGUGCAGCUAUAUGGUCUCGUUCCAGCUUGGCAUUGUGUAACCGCUGUCUGAGCUCUCCUUCGUCAACACUGGCACCUCGGCCAUUGACUUCCAGGACCUGUCCGGGGCGAGGUUGGUCCCUCCCUUCAUCCACGCGUUCUCCCGGGACCCGACCAGUACUUCUGUGGGGAUGCACCCCAUUAGGUUGGUCUGCGGGCGGAGGGAUUUCCUCUACUCUACGCCUCCGGAGGCUGGGUUCUGCUCCAACUUCAUCUCUUCCCACGGGGGUUUCACAAUCCCUUCUCCGCUCAUCCCUCAGCUCGAACAAUAUGGUUGCGAGAGUCUCCAUUUGUUUCUCCAUCCGCUCCAGUCUAUCUUGCAUCAUCUUCUCUCGGGCUUCAUUUGCAAUUUCCCGGAGAGUGACUGUCUCCCCAGCUUCGUUAUCCUCCCUCAAAGCGUCCUUCCUUGUCACAUCCAUGCCUAACUGUUCGCUGUUUUUCCGGUAACUACUAAUUCGGUGGUAGCUUUUUAUCCAGCUCCCCACAGACGGCGCCAAAAUGUUGAUGCUGAAAUCUGCUCGCCUCUUGACCGACCAGAUUCUUUCACCAACGUUUGUGUUAUCUACUGUUGCUUGUUCACUAGGAUUGGAAUCGUCCUUCUUUCUCUCAAUAGACCUGCACUCACUAAAAAUGGAUCAGAGACGCCGGUGGUUUUACCGGCGUAAACCCUCCGAUGCCUAAGUUAGCACAAGGUGUUUACAGGAAAACAGUGUAAUUUGGAUUCCAGGAGCUUAUUAAAAAUUUGUAAGGAAAUGGCCUAGUUGCAAUUUGGCAGCGUUUUCCCUCUCUCUCUUUUUUUCCCCUUUCUUCACCGAUUUCUUCUUCUUUUAUAGCCGUUGUCCCCACGUUUCCGUUUGCCAUUCAUCUCACCUUUUUCGGGUAGUGGCAGCCCCUUAUGGGAUUUUAACUGCUACAUUGUGGGCAAACGUGGGAUCUCGCAUCUCCCACAACGGUUCUGGGAAAAGCGCAACUACCGCGAUUCUGUGGGAUCGUAUUUCCGCUUUUUGGGGGACGGGUACCGGCUCGGUAUACAACUCUGGUCGGUAUUCGUCUCUGAUCAGCUCAUGUUACCCCCUGUUCUGCUCGUACCAUUUGGCUGAGGUGAUUCAUGCCGGGGUGGAAAUAGUAGCAUGGCCGACCUGGUGCUUUUAUUUGCUUAACAGAAGGUAUUUUCAGAAUGUUAAAAUUUCAAUGGGAACAGAUUUUUUAUUCCCAAAAAUCGAUCGUUGAGAAUUAGUCUCGCAUUUUCAUGCUUAUUUUAGUCUUUCAUUUUGAUGCUUAUUUUGUAAAGUAAAUGCUAUUAAUAAUUUCGAUUCUCCAAUCAAGAAAGUAAACAUAAGUAAACAUCGCAGUAAUGUAUAACUAUAGCAAAUUUAUGAUAUAAAGUAUUGUCAUUAUAUAUAUGUUUAUACUCGCGCGGAAUCUACGUAAGCACUCGUGGCCACAGCACACUCAAGAGGAAGCCCUUUUGGGAAGCGCUUUGUGUCUGUACAAUAAUUAUAAAUCAUGUAAUUCUUCUGCACCCACUUGAGUUUCUCUCGGCUUGUUUCAUCAAGCUCAUCGAUCUUCAUCCAUGCAGAGGAUGAAGAAUUCGAAGGGCAAGGCGCAGAAAUGAUUGGACCUGCUGGGUAACGAAUGCAAGUUUUGGCAUUAAAGUUUCUACAAGAAGCUGUAAAUGGAGCUUUUGUCCAAUCUGUUUUGACAAGACCGCCUCUUGUUGCCCAGUCAUCAGCGUUCCAGAGACUCGAGUGUAUUCUCAUUGGUUGGUUUUUUGGGUAAGGAAUGUUGAUUGACUCCAAGUUCUUGAACUCUCUAAUCGGUGUGCCAUCGACAUAGAAUCUGAAAACGUUUUUAAACAAAAAUGUUAGAGAGCCUUUUUAACCCAAAAGAGCCCAAAGAAUAUAUGAAGUAUUAAACCAAAAAAAAGAGACACGUCUAAUAAAAAAAAGAAGAGGAUUAAUUAGUGACUUGAAUUGUUGCUUGUUUUCAACAAGAGAUGAUUAGUGGAUUGAAAUUCUUACACGAUGGUUUUGGGAUUCCAGAGAAUGGAAUAUGUGUGAAAAUCUGAAGUGGGAUCAAACCAGGGAUAAAAUUGCUGCUCUCUGUCACCUUUGCCUUGUGUGAUUACAUUUGUGUGAAAAAUAUAAGGAUCGCCACUGAGAUUUCCCAAGAACUCAAAGUCUAUCUCAUCCCAUGUUGAUCCUUGUGAUGACAACUAUAACACAGAAUUAAAAAUAAGCUUACUCUUAAAGAGAAAAACAUUUUCGUGCAAGAUCACUGGCAGCUUACGCCUUACAUAGUAAGAUGUGACAGUGCCAGCAGAGUUGCCUGGGACAAGCUUGAAUUGCAUGUCAAUUUUGCCAAAUAGAUACUCAUUCUUGGACUGGAAACCUGAGCCUGUGUCUUUGCCAAGGUAAAGAUUGAGGACUUCUCCAUCGUUGCGAAUCCUGACCUUGUCAAUUCCCCAUAUGAUGUCAAAAUCUUGAUAAAAAUUACUAGCUGGUAAAACUAACACAAAAGAGUUAGAUAAUAAAGCAGACAGCAUUAUCAGCACUACUAGUGAUUUAGCCGCAGCCAUUGUGCGAUAUUUAAAAUUUUGUUAUAGUUUUGGAUUUUUAUAGAGACGAAAAGAAAGAAGCGAUUUGCCAUUUGGAAAAAGAAAAAUGAAAAUUUUAAGAGAUAAGAUAGAUGAUGGGGAAGAGUUAGAGUCAAGGAUUAGGCUAGCACUUGUGGGGCAAAGAGCAAGAGCGGGAAACAGAUGGCAAAGACUGAAAUUAGUGAAAAGAAACUGCGAAAAUGCGGAUUUAUGCAUGUCACACAAGUGACAGCCCUAAGCAUGGUUUAUUAACACGUUGAAAUUUUGGCUGAUGGGUGCUUUUUGACCACUCUAUAUAGUUUCCGCAUCUACUGACCGGCUGGGCUCAGCCCUAUGUGAUUAGGAUGACUUUGGAGCAGUUUCCGUACUUAGAAUAGUCCCAAAAUAUGCUUAAGAAAAUGAGCAGGGUGUUCAAAAUCUAAUUCAAUUGGCUUAAUCCCAAAAUUAAUAGUCCCAAAAUUUGACUUUUAUAAUCGCCGAGAGUAAAAAUGAUUAUCUUAAGAUUUCAACAAGUCUUAAUAUAUUUUUCUUCACUUUUCUUUCUAGUAAUCAUGACAAUACAAAAAUUGUAACUAAAAAAGAAGAAUUAUGUACUUGGUCAUGAUUCAUGAGGAGACAUAAUGAAUCUUAUAAAAUGAAACCUUUGACUUCAAUUGGAUCUUGAGUCGCACAACCACUCUAGCUUUAUACAUAUUGUGUCUAGAUAUAAUAAAGUUCAAUGGUGCUCGUCGUUAAUUACUGUUAAAUGAUAAUAAAGUUUUAGCAAGAUGAUAUGAAUAUAAAGAGCAAAACAAUUUCGGAAUAUUUUGAGCUGUCAUAUUUACAUAAUUAACUUAACAGCUAAUAUGUUUAUCAAACAUUUACACAGUAAUAAUUAAUAUUAAUAACUUUUGUAACAACUCAAUCCCAAACUUGCCUCUUUUUAAUGUUUUGAAAUUAAACUUUACCUUUAAAUGUGUUGACAGAUAUUGACUCCUCCAAAUUAGCUCCAUCAACUGAAAUUCACCGCCACGUUUCCCCGACAUCUUAGGCGCCAGCAUCAUUUACACGUGGCAAAAAGAUAACUUUACACUUAUUUGAUAAACACAAAAGUAAAACUUCAAUUAAUCAAAUUAGAAAUAAUAGCUACCUGAUGUCCCAAAAUAUUUGUAUGAAGUCACAUAAAUCUUAUCACAACGAACAAAGUAGCUAGCUAUCACUUCUAUUUGGUCCAUUUUUCAUCUGCAUCAUUUUCCUACGUCCUGCAUGAAGGACCAAAAACAGAAGGAGCAGCUGGGGGAUGAAGGGAAAAACCCUAAUGGUCAAAACCCUUGUGGAGAAAACCCUAAUGGAGAAAGCCCUAAAAAGCAAAAUGAUGAUGCUUCACUUGUACGGCAUCCUGUGAAGAGUACUGGUCAUCAUCUGAUCGCUGAUGAUUCUUAUUUUGAUUCAUUCCCGCCUGGUUACCGAUUCAAACCCCACGAUGGAGAACUUGUGGUUUAUUACUUGCGGAGGAAGAUACUGAAUCAGCCAUUGCCUCCAAACCAGAUCAAGGUGGUGGAGUUGUAUAGGUUUAAUCCUAACACACUUACAGGUUAGGGGAAAAAAAAGUCACUUUUAAUUUCUUAUUUUCUCAAUUUCUGUGUUGUAUGUUGUUUUAUUGGCACGCAUCAUAUAUGAUUAAUUUUUUUUAUAAAAAAAUCUGUUUAUUCCUUAUUUCUCGAGAUUAUUAUUUAUUAGAAUGGAAAUUUUCUGAGUCUCGUUAGUGGCUUCUCUACUCUUUAUUAUUCAAAUUUUGUAGUCUUCGCUUGGGAUAUUUGUGGCUUCUCUACUCUUUUUCACGAUAGAUGUUUAUGCCAUUACAUAUAUAAUAUUACAGUGUAUAUUUUAAUGUGAUGCGAUUUUACAUCAGGUAUGAUUUUAGAUUUAGAUGGUGUUGUAAAUCAGCAUAUAAAAUUUAAUCCCCUCAUAUUGAAAACGUUUAUAAUAUGUUAUUUCUUUCGUAUUAGUUUGUCUACAUUUUUUUUGUUUCAUGAUAUCUUUAUGAAAUUUCUUUUAUUCUGUCCACUGAUGCAAUGAUUUACAGAAAGGUACAAGUCACUUGGUGAAAUGGAAUGUUAUUUCCUUACACCAAGAGAUAGAAAAUAUCGAAAUGGUCUAAGACCCAAUCGAGCUGCUGCAGAUGGGUACUGGAAGGCCACAGGAGCUGAUAAACCUGUUAAGCACAAUGGCAGUUUGGUUGGAUUCAAGAAGGCAUUGGUCUUCUACAAGGGAAAAGCUCCAAAGGGUGAUAAGACUAACUGGAUCAUGCAUGAAUACAUAGUGAAUAAUCCACCACAGAAACAAAAAGGCCGAAAUGAUAUGAGGGUAAAUGAUUUUCCUUGUUGUCCAAAUUCAUUUUUAUUUGAUUCUUUUUUUUGGUUUUAUUCGACUAAUUUCUGCUUCAUACAAGUCCCUUGCAGUUAGAUGACUGGGUUCUCUGUAGGAUCUAUAAGAAAACAAAGCAGUCAGCCAAAGCUUCUACUCGAAAACGAGAGGAUUCAGAGGAGGAUCAACAAUCAAGAAGCGAAGUUGCAACUCAAUCUCAAGAUAGUGGACAAACUUCAGUUGAUGAAAAGGCUAAAAUGCUGCCCAAAACAGAAAAUUUCAAGCCUGAAGGCCUUGGAAUCUUUGAUGUGCCUGAUUACUACAACCAGGGAAGAUUCUUCAGCGCAUAUGAUAAUGUCCUUUUAUCUUGUCAGAGUCCAUAUGCUAAUUUUCAGGAUGGUCAUCAGGGUAAUUCUCAGAAUUGGCUUCCUUUAAUCCCUCAGUCGGGGUUUCAGCAAAUGCUCCAUCAUAAUCCUACGUGGGAGAGCCCUAUGAAGCCUGAACAGUUCGGAUAUCCGCCCGAUGAUGUGUUUAGUGAUCUCCCUUCGGAAGACAAUUGUUUUGAUCCUCUACCUCAUAAUUUUACGAACUUAUAACUCUUUUCAUUUUGUGAUUCGAUUAGUUAAUGGUAGCUGACAUUAAUUGGCAUUUAUAAUAAGUUAGUUAGAGUGUACUUUAGUAGAGGUCGGUUUUCUUGAACUCAAUUUUUCUUGCAAUUCUGUGUACUUUGAUUGUUAUUUAUAUGAAUGUCAGCAGCAUGGAUAUUCAAGGAGAGUUGCUAUUUCUAUGGGUGGUAUGCUAAGGCUCCAUUUGCUUUAGCUUUUUGGUACUAAUUCUGUUACCAUUAUCAAAAUAUUUAAAAUAUUUGUAACUCAACUUUGACAGUACAACUGAUUAUUUCUCACAGUUUUCAGUUGUAACGCUCUUUGAACAAGAUUUUCUAAUCACUAAAAUUAUAUACAUAGUUUCCUAGAAUACCAAAUUAUUUACGUGACGAUCAUAUUCUUUGUUUGCCUCAAAGCUUGAGUUGUUUCUUUUAUCUCUCUUAAUUCCAAUUCAAGAGCUGUUUUCAGAAUUUUUUUUCCUUAAAUCCCAAUAGAAAAAAUGUAACGGAACAAUUUGUUAUGAAUGUAAUAAGCCAUAUAUAUCACAAAAAGGAGCAUAAACUGCACGGCUACUAUAUAUUGUUGAAGCUCUAUGAUUUUUAAAUUCUUUAUGAACGAUGUACCUCCGAUGUACUUUUAUUUUUUCUUCUUUUUGUCAUUUUGAGAUAAAUUUUUCUCCUCGAUCUCUUUAGAUGUUCAUAACUAAAUAUUCUUUAAGAUAGAGCGCAAUGUUUUAUCCCUACCACCACAACCCUAUCAUAAAGGAGACUAAAAAUUUGAGUUGGAGAAACAAGAAACUCAAUUCAAUCUAUAGAAAUUAUGAAGCCGUGUGAUAUGAUGAACUAACGGAGCUGCAGAAUGGCCUUUGAAAGUAAUGUUAAAAGCUUAAAACCUUUUUGAGUUUCCUUUAGCAAAUGUCAUAUGCAUUUUCUCUGAUCAAUGCACGAGAAAAUAUAACUUAGAGAUUGUUUAUCAAACGUUAGAAGUUUGUUAUUUGUUUUUGUGAUUUAUGUCUGAUUUUUAGAUAUUUACAUUUGAAUGGAAAAAAUAAAUUUUUAUAUCUUUUAUUUGAAUGGAAAAGGUUUGCAUGAAAAAUAAAUAUUAUAUUCCAAAAAUAUCUGUAUAAAAUAGUUUAUUUCCUCAACUAUAAGAUCUAAUCCUUUUUUGUUUUAAUUUAUGAGGAUAUAAUUAUCAAAGAAUCAAGUUUAAAACCUUUUUUUUUUGUUAUAAAAACAAAUAAGAUGUCAUUUAUACUCAUAUAUUAAAAAAAAAAAAGAAAUCUAAACGUUUCAUUCAAUUUUUUUUUAUUUAAAUCCAUUCAAACUUCUGAAAAAUUCAGAUUCAUUCUAAUUUCAGACUUUAAAAAAAAAUGUUAUCUUACUACAAACUAAAUUCCAAACUUAAUAAAUUAAUAUCAGAUCCCAGCCACAAUUCGCAUAUGAAAUGUUUGAGAACGAAGUUGUGAGAAAAUGCAGUCAGAAUCGACUGCCAUCAAUUAACAAGUUCCUUGGGAGGAAACAUGUUCAAUUUCUUUUUCUUUUUCUUUUUUUCCAAAAUUUUAAUGUGGAAAAUUAAUUCGGAUGCCGGGGUUAGUCCAACCACAGCACUCAUACUGGGCCGUGCGAGUUAAUUUUUGGGCCAAGUUCUUAACAUAUUUACUCAAUAUUUUGGAUGACAAAAUUGCCCAUAAACGCCCUGCAAGGACAUAACUGCAGAAAACAGGCUGGAGUAAAGUAUGCGACUAUGCGGUAACAAAACUUUCGGGACGCCUGCGUUAAUGACUUUUUGUUACUGCCACAAAGCAGUCACAAAAAGGUCAUUUGUGACUGCGGAGUGAUCACAUAAAACUCCUCCUCCUUGUAGUGCCACCUGCAAAAUAAUCCAUACUAGACCUCCUAAUUCUUCAUUUUCAUCCCUAUUAUUAAGUUAACUCGAUUGAAAUAUAUAUUUAUGAAAUUACAUGCACCAACUAUUUAUCGAGAAUUACAUUAAAUUAUGUAUAUAGCUAAUGUAAGAUCAAUUUGGAGAACUAAAAAUAUGUUAAUAAAAAUAGAAAACCGGGUUAUAUCGUUUGUCCCUCUUGUUCAUGUAUCGAUUUUUUUUUUUUAAAUUCCGCGGAACUACUGCAGCUACAGUGCUGGAAAGGAGCAAAUAUGUCGGAUUAUGCUAAGGAUUGCAUUAAAUGAACAAGAAGCUAUCCUAUAUUCUCUCAUUUUGCUAAAAGAUAAGGCAGUGAAAUAACUUCUAUUCUACUUCUACUUUGAAGAAUUUUACUGCUUCUCAAUCAACUACAUCAGCAGAAACUAUCAUAUUUCGCCACAUCAGCUUCAAUGACAGCUACUAAAGCACACAUUCUGGAAUCAUUGAACUCAAUCAUAACCAUCAAAUCAUUGACCACCGAUAGAUUGGCAUCUUAACUGAAUCCAAAGGAUAAAUCGCCUUCCGAAAACCGUUUGAUAAACCGAUCAGUUAGAAAAAGUAUCUACUUUAUUUAAUGUUAUAUAAUCCAAAUAAAUUAGUAUAAAAUAAGCCCCUAAUAGGAUUCUAGGGUUUUGAUUAGAGAAUUAAGAGAGAAUAGAUGAAGAAGUUAAAGAGAAGGGAGAAGAAUUAAUAGGAAUUAAAAUUAAUUUUAUUACUUGCGUCCUAAAAACAUAAUAAGAACCACUUACUUAUAGUAGUUCAAGACAAUCCUAAUUGUAAUUUAAUAAGGACUUUAAUUGAAAUAAGAAAAGCUAAUACUAAUAGGAAAGAAAUUAAAACAAGCAAUUAAAAUAAAAUAAACUAUUAGGGCCCUAACAGCCCCCAUGCAUCUGAUCACAACAAAUAUUCUUGAUGUAUCUGAUCACAACAAAUAUUCUUGUGAGGUCAAUUUUAUAGGGAAAGCAGCGUCUCCUUCAAGUUUCGGUAAAAGUUAUCAAUGCCGGACCAGCAGCAGGGAGAUAAGGACCAAGACCCUAACGGCCAAGACCGCAAUGGUAAAAACCCUAAUGGCCAAGGCCCUAAAGGAAAAAGGCCUAUAGAUCAUACUCGUGAUGCUUCACCACCUGUGCGGAAUCGGAUGAAUGCUGCUAAGGGUCCUGAGUUCGAUGAUAACUUUCCUCCUGGUUACAGGUUCAAGCCUCACGACAUAGAGCUUCUAGUUCAUUACUUGCGGAGGAAGAGAAUGAAUGAACCUUUGCCACCAAAUCGGAUUAAGGAAGUUCACUUGUACAAAUUUAAUCCUGAUACACUUUCAGGUUAAAAAUACCCACCACCCCAUUUCUCUUUUUUGUUUCUUUUGUUUUUUUGCAAUUGCCUUGCUGGUAUUUUUCUUUAAAUUAAGUAAUGCACUUACGCAUAUUAAGUUCUUUCUUUUUCUUGAGUUCAUUUGGUUAUUAAUUAGAGUGUAACUUCUUGAGUUUCUUGAAAUGGUUUAGUUUCUUGAGUUAGAAGUGUUUCCUUUGCGUUCGUUAUACAUAUAGUCUCAUAAUUUGAUUUGUUUUCGUACUUUGGUAAUGCUCUUAGCGCUUUUCUUGAGUUCAUUUGUAAUUGGAGUGGGCAUUUCUUGAGUUUCUUGAAAUAAAAUGGUCUGCUCUUCAGUUUCUUGAGUUAAAAGUUACUUCUUUGCGUUGUUGAAUGCUGAUUUAAUUUUCUACAUAUGGUCUCGUAGUUUGGUGCUUGUAUGUAUCCAAAACAAAGACUAUAAAUAUUUAUGUUGAUAUUAUUCCGUAUUCCAUAUAAUGGAAUCAGGAAGUGUAGAUCUUUUUUUUUUUUUUGGGUGAUUGAUACAAUGAUGAUUCUGUAUUAAUAAUGCACAGAAAAGUAUAAGCCGUUUGGUGAGAAUGAAUGGUACUUUUUUACUCCAAGAGAGAGAAAGUACAAAAACGGGACAAGACCCAAUAGAGCUGCUGGAGAUGGAUUCUGGAAGGCAACUGGAGCUGACAAACCUAUCAAAAACGACGACGUUGUCGUUGGAUUCAAGAAGGCAUUGGUCUUCUACAUGGGAAAACCCCCAAGGGGAGAUAAAACUGAAUGGAUAAUGCAUGAAUUUAGAUUGGAGGGUCCUCCAAGGACCAGAAUCAGUGGAGAUGACAUGAGGGUAACUAAAUUUUGUAGCUUCUUUCUGUGUCAUAUGUGAUGUGUUGCAGCAAUUUUACAAUGUUGGUUUGCUGAUGAGUUUUGCUUUUAUAUAUUAUGUUGAUUGCAGUUAGAUGAUUGGGUACUGUGUAAGAUAUAUAAGAAAAGGGACCAGGAUAGAUCUAAGCUGUCGUCUUCAAGACCUUCAACUUCGCAACGGGAUGAUUCAAUUUCAGGCCAAGAUGAUCCACAAUCAGACACUGAAUUUCAGGAUAAUGGAGCCAUUGAUAUGGGAGUUGAAGACUCUGCUACGCUGCCCAAUGAAACUUUCAUGCCUCACGGUCCUGAAGGUCCUCGAAUCAUUGAUAUGUCUGGUUUCUACAAUCAGGGAGGAUUUCUCAAUUCAUAUGAUGAUACUUUCAUUUAUCAUCAGAGCCACUUUGUUAAUCACAAUGUCCCAUAUUCUCAAGGCAGGGUUCCUGAAAUGCCUAAUUACUAUGUUCCAUAUGCUCAAGGCAGGGUCACUGGAAUGCCUAAUCACAAUGUUCCCUAUUCUCAAGGAAGGCUCCCUCGAUUGGCUAAUCACAAUGUUUCAGAUUCUCAAGGAAGGUUCCCUGGAAUGACAAAUCAAAAUGUUUCAGUUUCAGUUUCUCAGGGGAGGUUCCCUACAAUUGCUCCUUAUUCGUAUAACAAUUCUAUGGGGCAGAGCUCUCCAUGGACUCAACAUAUAAUGAUUCCGACUGCUAAUCAGAAUCCUAAUGAAGCUGCCGAAUCAUCAGCAGCAGCAAGGGGAAGACCUUUCCAGGCAUAUCCUCAUCAACAUAUGUUUGCUACUUCAAAUCGGAAUCCUAAUCAACCUGCAGAAAUAUCAUCAUCAGCAGCAGCAAGACCUUUCCAGACAUAUCCUCAUCAUCAUAUGUUUGCUACUUCUAAUCAAGUGGCAGAAUCAUCAUCAGCUGCAGCAGCAAGACCAUUUCAAGGUUUGGAGAGCGAUAUGAAAUUUGAACAGUUAAAUGAAUGUCCCCCGGAUGAUUUUUUGAAGGACCCUUCUGACGACAAUUGCUUUGAUCCGGAUUAUCAUAACUCCCGGAAAUUCUAACUCUGCCAUUUUUUUAUCCUUCGAUGAUCGAUGAUGACUGGCUUUGACAGAUUUGUUGAUUGAAAACGUAGUCAUAGUUACUACUAACUUUGUGCUUGACGUGAACAUUUCCAUAGAUUUUUCUCUAGGACGAUUAAUGGAUUAUUUUCUUAGAGGACUCUAUCUUCUAUUUUAGUUGUGGACCCAAUUUCUCUCACUUUGCAAGUGCCUCAUGUUGAUAGAUUUUAAAUUUGUCUUGAUUGCCAUGCAAAUUUUUAAAUAAGGUGGAUGUGGCUAUCCUUUUAUAAAUCACACUGAUUCAUAAAUAUUAUUCCCGCUUCCUAUGUCAUUAAAAGUAUAGAUUUUUGGUUUGUUAUAAUAUAUGACAUGGGGAACCCGGCUGAAACUUUUUUGGUUCAAUUACAAUGGUUACGCGUUGCCCAUUUGGUUACUUUAUAUUUUGUUGACAUAGGGUUACAAGCUUCUGGCAGCUGCUGUUUCUUCUGGAUAUAUAUAAUGCUAUUACAUUUUCCAUGGGGUAUGCCCUAUUUUUUCAGCCUUAAAAACUUUCAUGGUCUCCCUCGAUGUUUUCAGAAUCCUAAGAGGGAAGUGGGGAAAUCUAAUGCUACAAUAUAGUAAAUCCAAAACCAUUUCUCUUUGAUCUGGCAACUUCUGGGUGUCCACUAGAACAUACUAGAAAACAAAUUUUCAUGGAAGUGGCAUCGCAUUAUUUGUCGGUGGAUAUGCCAAAUGCUCAGGAGUAGGUGGAAAUAACCUAGGAAGCAAGUAGCAACUAUGCUCAUCUCUCCUGUAAAAUAAUGCCCGCAAGCAAUUUGACUGGCUUAAAGUUAUGACAAAGAUGCCCAUUUUCAAUGUGCACUUGUUUUUGCUAUCCAGCUGUUCAGUUCUCAACUCACCCCACCAACCAACUAUACAUUUCAAUAUUUGGCGAACAUUCGAUGCACUAACCAGCAGCUCCAAUAAAUAGCCUGGAACUCAGUAUUCUCAAGUGUGUCAAACUAAGUUGCAUAACGUUCCCGAAGUCAAUGCCUUGCUAUUCUUAUUCUUCUUAUCCAAUUUUCUUGUUCUCUUUUAUUGUCACAAGCUCUUUCAUUGUUGCAAAUGCUGGUAAUUUUAACAAAGAUGUUGAUAUUACAUGGGGUGAUGGACGUGCCAAGAUUCUCAACAAAGGCAAGCUUCUUACUCUGUCUCUCGACAAAGCAUCUGGCUCUGGCUUCCAGUCUAAGAAUGAAUUUUUCUAUGGAAAAUUUGAUAUGCAGCUCAAGCUUGUUCCCAACAACUCUGCUGGCACUGUCACUGCCUACUAUGUAAGCUCCUUAAUGAAAGAUUCUUUUUCCCUUUCACAUAUAAUUUGUUUGUCAGUCGUCACAUCAUUAUGUUGAUACGUAGACUUGCUAUGGUGCAGCUAAAAUCUCCAGGGGCAUCAUGGGAUGAAAUAGACUUCGAAUUCCUGGGGAAUUUGAGUGGCAACCCUUACAUUGUUCACACAAAUGUCUACACACAAGGAUAAGGUGACAGAGAGCAACAAUUCUACCUCUGGUUUGAUCCCACUGCCGAUUUUCACACUUAUUCAAUCCUCUGGAAUCCAGGUCACAUUGUGUUAGUACAUACACAACCCUGAUGUGAGCGAAAUUCGAAUCCUGGAUUUAAUUUUAUCAAGCUCGCAUUAACUUUUUAUUACAUUUUCUUUUUGUUCAGCUUCUAUAUCGAUGGCAGACCCAUCAGAGAAUUCAAGAAUCUCGAAUCAUUCGGCAUUCCGUAUCCCAAAAAACAAUCAAUGAGAAUGUAUGCUAGCCUGUGGAAUGCCGAUGACUGGGCUACAAGAGGGGGCCUGGCGAAAACAGACUGGUCUCAGGCUCCCUUCACUGCUUCCUUCGGAAACUUCAAUGCAAAAGCUUGUGUUUUGUCCAUCGGAAUAUCUUCUUGCAGCUCGAAUCCCGCAACUAAAAAUACAUGGUUUUCACAGGAGCUCGACUCUUCAAGCCAAAGGAAGCUAAAAUGGGUGCAGCAAAAUUACAUGGUUUACAAUUAUUGCGCAGACACAAGUUGGUUCCCUCAGUGCCUCCCCCAAGAAUGCACCAACAAAAAUUAGGACGAUGAAUCUUUUCUAAUCCAUUCAGUGUUUGGAAAUUCGUAUUUCAAUUAUAUUUUUAUUCUUUCUUCUACUUUUCUCAAUAGGGUUUCUUGAUUGCCAUCAAUCAUAUAACAUAAGAAUAUCGCUUCCCACUUGAUGCAUCUAAAUAAUAGUAAUAAAUGAUGUAGGAUGGUUUCAUCAAAAUUCAUUUUUCUUUUUAUUUUUUCAUUUUGGACUUCGGUUGGCAUCCUCAUCAUUAGAUAAUUAUUCUACAAAGUAAUAUAAUAUAUUAUUUACCCUUAUUAUAUAUGCCAAUUAUCAAGAAGAAAUGGGUAGGUAUUGAUAUUAAGGACUCAUCAGGUCCCUGCUAGGCCCAAAUGAAAUUAGUUCAAGAAUCAUGAACCUUGCAGGCCGAGCUCUAAUGGGCCAUUUAUGAUUUGCAUAAGUAUCCCAAACUUCUUCCAAAGAUAACUGCAAAAAAUUUAACAAAGUUGAUUGUUUUCCUCAAAUCGAACAAUAUUCAGAUUUUGUUCAGUGUUCAAUUACCCUAAGAAUUUUCUUUCCUAACUCAUGCAGAGCAAUCCAUAAUCUCAUUUCGCCAUGGCUUUUAUCCAAGUCACAUGUAGCCGCCCAUGCAUGGGGAGAUUGUAUAUUACAUUGAAAAUUUAUACCGUUAUGAUACUGCUCACAGGAAACAUGUCACCAAGUGUUAAGAAAGACGAGUUAUAUAAUACGUAAUUAACUAAUCACUGAACCCAAAGCAUGCGCCAACAAUGUCCUAAUUUGCCUCAACGACUUGUUUAUUAAGGCAAAGCCGGCCAGGGUCUUUUGAGAAAGCUUCAGCCAAGAUGCUGGAAGAGAGUGCUAGAGAGUGUUAAAGUGUAAUUUCCUUUACAAUAUGUUUGAACUGACACUUUGAAUGUCUUGAAAUUAAUACCAAUUUUUUUUGGGAUACUGCAUGUUAUAAUCAUUCUCAGGUGUGGACGCCGUAUUUUUUUUAAUACGGAUACACUUUUAUACUGUGUUGUUUAAAAGAUUUAGUUUUUAAAUGAACUGUAAAAUCGUAGGGCUUAAGUGAGUUAAAAGUUAAUUUUCUUAAAUUCUACGGUUUUAAAGUAUAUUCGCAUGAAAAUAAAAUAAGGAUGUCCACACUAUAAAAAGACUACUGCAUGUUAUAAGAAAGGUUAAAAAAAUUUUAUGAAUCAAUUUGUGGGUUGCAUGAACAGACUUCGUACUCAACUGUCAUUAUUCUUUGGACCUACAUUCUGGUUUCUCUCCUUUUUUUGUUUAAAUAAAGAAUCAAAUCUCUUUAUCUCGGCUUACUGUUGCAAGAAAAUUAAAAAGUACAAACCAAGAGAACGAAUACAAUACAACAUAAUCUGUUCCCCAACCCUCGAGGUAAUUAAUGGAAAGUGGGCAACAAUGUAUUUGACAGCAUUUCAAUAGAAGGAUGAUAUUCUGGUUUAUUUUCAAGGAUAGAUUGUGUUCGAGUAACAAUGUUUUAGAUGAUAUAUCACCAGCUGGCCUUUUGUAUCGUAGUCAUCUAAUGGACCCCCGUUCCUUGACCUGAUCCUGUUCACAAGUACGACAAUGACUAACCGACCGUCUGUCAAAUGCUUGAAAGAAUUUGACGCGGGAUUGAGCCCCAAGGACUGUGGUGGUGGAAUCGGCAGAAGCAAAAGUACAACCUAAACCCGUAUCUACAUAGAUAUGUGCGAGUACCGGAUAAUCAUGAUCGCAAUUCAAGAUCAAGUGGGUAUGCAUGCAGGCACCGAACCCCAUUUGGAAUUUGGGGCCAUGUCAUAUAAUCUGUCUGCAAAUGAGAAACAGCCAAAUUUGCCUCUCUUUCAAUUCAUGGCACAGCCAGCUGUUGACAACUUUGCACUCUCAGAAACGGCAAACAUGAAACAACCAUCCAAACGCACCCUCUUCUUCACUCUUCUUUUGUCCAUUUCUAUACUCCAAUCCCCUAUAUAAUAUUACAUUACAUCCAUGCAAAACUAGUAAUAAUUUAUGCACUAUUCAGUAUAGCGAGCUCCAGAUCCCAAAAUCCUGAAAGAUAUGGGUUCUGAUUCGUUUGGGGUGAUGAUGUGUACUUUUGUUGGGCGUUUAGCUGCUGUUUCUGCUGGUAAUUUCAAUGAGGAAUUUGAUAUCACAUGGGGAGAUGGUCAUGGGAAAAUAUUCAACAACGGCCAACUGCUUACUCUCAAUCUCGACCAUUACUCUGGCUCAGGCUUCCAGUCCAAGAAACAAUACUUAUUCGGCAAGAUUGAUAUGCAACUCAAGCUUGUCCCUCGCAACUCUGCUGGCACUGUCACUGCUUAUUAUGUACGCUUUUCUUUUUAUCAACACCUGCUGUUUUCAUUGAUUUCUUUGUAAUGAUGCUAAUUAAUAUUAAUUAUGAGAGUCUUUGAUGUUGUAGCUACGCUCACAAGGACCAACAUGGGAUGAGAUAGACUUUGUAUUCUUGGGAAACCUCAGUGGUCAUCCGUACACAGUUCACACAAAUGUGUACAGCCAAGGCAAGGGUGACAGAGAGCAGCAAUUUCAUCUCUGGUUUGACCCCACAGUCAACUUUCACACUUAUUCAGUUCUCUGGAAUCCUCAACGCAUUGUGUAAAGUCCAUUUCUCUCUUAUUAGUAUGUCAUUCGCUUCUACAAUUUUAUUGACUUGUGUUGUUCAAUUAAUUGCAUUAUUUCAGCUUCUCUGUUGAUGGUAUUCCAAUUAGAGAGUUCAGAAACCUGGAGGCUAUAGGCGUUCCAUUACCAAAGAAUCAGCCAAUGAGAAUAUACUCAUCUCUUUGGAAUGCUGAUGACUGGGCUACAAGAGGUGGGCUAAUCAAGACGGAUUGGAGCCAAGCUCCUUUCACUGCUUCUUACAGAAAUUUCAAGGUUGAUGGUAGCCGUGCCUGGCUCUUGCAACAAAUGGAUUCCACAAACCAACGGAGGCUUUACUGGGUGCGGAAGAAUCACAUGAUUUACAAUUACUGCACUGACACCAAGCGAUUUCCCCAGGGCUUUCCCAAAGAAUGCGCUGUCCAUUAAAGCUGGCUGUUCCAAAAACUUUAGCGCCUAGGUACAGGAGCUGUCUUGUAUAACAUAACAUUAAAUGAUAAAAUGUAAGCUAAUUAGUAGUGAGGGAUGCCUUUAGCACUAUCCGAAUUAGGUAGUCGGCUGGUUUUGUAUUUUGAAUAGCUAUUUAUUAACAUAAUAAUAAUAUUUAUUUUAAGAUUCUAAUUUUUUAAAGUUGCGUAUAUAUUGAAGGAAAAUUUAAUUUUUAGGAAUCUCCCUAUUAUUAUUCUCAUUCAUAAUUAUCUCUAUAUUUAAUAAUCUUUACUUUAAAAAUAAUUUUUUUUAUAAAAAUGUGAUAUUUAUGGUAUAAUAAUUAUUCUAAGCCUUUGAAACUUUAUUUGGUUAAUAAUUACAAGAAAAAAAUUCAACGUUUUCCCUUUCCCAAAAAUAACUACUCUAUUAAAAUUAUAAAUGUUAGAUUUUAAAACAUCUAGUAUUCUAUUCAUUCUAUUUCAAACUUCAAAACUAAUAGAUAUUGAAUCAAUGAUACUCACCCAAAAAAAAUUUCUCUCAUAUCUACUCGGAAUAUUAUUCUAAUCUUCCCUAUAAACUUCAUUGCCAGCAUCUAACAUUUGACUAUCAUAUUCAUCUCAACUAAUCAACCUUUUACGUGCUAUCGUUCUAAUUUUCUAUUUUAAUUUAUUAUUAUUAUUUUUUAAAUUUAUUAUAUUUUUUUAUUUGUUGCAUUAAUAUAUGACUUGAAUCAGUUAUGAAGUUUGUGAUUUGUAUAGCAUAAAUGUUGAUAAUUGACAAAUUUAACAAACAUGGUGAGCUUAGUUAAUGUUCUUUUAGAAAUAAAUAUAUAUCUUUUCAUUUAUUAUUAUUAUCUGCUGUACCGUACAUCUCUGGUUUGACCCCACAGUCAACUUUCACACUUAUUCAGUUCUCUGGAAUCCUCAACGCAUUGUGUAAAGUCCAUUUCUCUCUUAUUAGUAUGUCAUUCGCUUCUACAAUUUUAUUGACUUGUGUUGUUCAAUUAAUUGCAUUAUUUCAGCUUCUCUGUUGAUGGUAUUCCAAUUAGAGAGUUCAGAAACCUGGAGGCUAUAGGCGUUCCAUUACCAAAGAAUCAGCCAAUGAGAAUAUACUCAUCUCUUUGGAAUGCUGAUGACUGGGCUACAAGAGGUGGGCUAAUCAAGACGGAUUGGAGCCAAGCUCCUUUCACUGCUUCUUACAGAAAUUUCAAGGUUGAUGGUAGCCGUGCCUGGCUCUUGCAACAAAUGGAUUCCACAAACCAACGGAGGCUUUACUGGGUGCGGAAGAAUCACAUGAUUUACAAUUACUGCACUGACACCAAGCGAUUUCCCCAGGGCUUUCCCAAAGAAUGCGCUGUCCAUUAAAGCUGGCUGUUCCAAAAACUUUAGCGCCUAGGUACAGGAGCUGUCUUGUAUAACAUAACAUUAAAUGAUAAAAUGUAAGCUAAUUAGUAGUGAGGGAUGCCUUUAGCACUAUCCGAAUUAGGUAGUCGGCUGGUUUUGUAUUUUGAAUAGCUAUUUAUUAACAUAAUAAUAAUAUUUAUUUUAAGAUUCUAAUUUUUUAAAGUUGCGUAUAUAUUGAAGGAAAAUUUAAUUUUUAGGAAUCUCCCUAUUAUUAUUCUCAUUCAUAAUUAUCUCUAUAUUUAAUAAUCUUUACUUUAAAAAUAAUUUUUUUUAUAAAAAUGUGAUAUUUAUGGUAUAAUAAUUAUUCUAAGCCUUUGAAACUUUAUUUGGUUAAUAAUUACAAGAAAAAAAUUCAACGUUUUCCCUUUCCCAAAAAUAACUACUCUAUUAAAAUUAUAAAUGUUAGAUUUUAAAACAUCUAGUAUUCUAUUCAUUCUAUUUCAAACUUCAAAACUAAUAGAUAUUGAAUCAAUGAUACUCACCCAAAAAAAAUUUCUCUCAUAUCUACUCGGAAUAUUAUUCUAAUCUUCCCUAUAAACUUCAUUGCCAGCAUCUAACAUUUGACUAUCAUAUUCAUCUCAACUAAUCAACCUUUUACGUGCUAUCGUUCUAAUUUUCUAUUUUAAUUUAUUAUUAUUAUUUUUUAAAUUUAUUAUAUUUUUUUAUUUGUUGCAUUAAUAUAUGACUUGAAUCAGUUAUGAAGUUUGUGAUUUGUAUAGCAUAAAUGUUGAUAAUUGACAAAUUUAACAAACAUGGUGAGCUUAGUUAAUGUUCUUUUAGAAAUAAAUAUAUAUCUUUUCAUUUAUUAUUAUUAUUAUUAUUUGAUCUUUUUGGUAAUUGUUGAAAUUCACCAAAAAUGUAAAAUCUGGGGACGUCGGACGUCCAUACUGUAUGUUCUAUUUACAUCCAAGUCCCUUUAUGUUAUUAUUAUUAUUAUUUGAUUGAGAAAACCAAAGGUUGCAAUUAUUAGGUGUAUUAACCGUUCACGCCCCCAAUCAAGAAGAUGCUCAAUCCCAAAAUGCCAUAAAGCUUGGAUCCUAAAUUUGUGAACAUGCAUGAAUACUACAUGAAAGAAUCAAAGAUGAAUAUAAGAAUUAAAUAACUGGAUACAAUUGUGAUUGUAUUUGUUCUUGAUUUAUCUUUUUAUUGUCAUGUUACUGUUGGGUGUACUAUUUUAACAGGACAUUAAAAAAAAAAUCUCGGAGUGGGUGUCGGUGAAUUUUAAUCGUUUGCUUGCAAGAUGUUUGAUAAAAGUCCCAAAUGAGAGAAGUCGUUUUAAUGGCAAUAGAAUAUUUUGCUAGUCCUUACCCGUUAAGUCAGUCAAAAAUUUAGAGUACCAUUGCAUAUGUGAAGAGGUUUGGUCGUUUCUACGUUAAAACCUAGCCAAAGAAGAACAUAUAGCAAGCAUGCGAAGAGUAGAGAACAUAAUCUCAUGAUAUUUAUAUGCUAAAUUUUGUAUUACAUUGAGAAAGUUGGACUAAUUUGCCAUUUUAUUGACGACAAAAUACAACAAAGAAUCAAAGAAUUGACAAAAAGAAUAAAUUUUUUUGAUGUAUGUGUUGAUUUUGCAAAACUUCUAAGAGGUUCUGCAUUCUGCAGGGAGUCCCUGGGGAAAUCUCUUUGCAUCAGCGCAAUAAUUGUAAAUCAUGUAAUUCUUCUGCACCCAUUUCAGCCUUUCUUGACUUGUUGAAUCAAGCUCUUGUGAGAACCAGGCACUGCUGCUGGAUGGAGAGGAAGGUGAACUUGAAGCGCAAGAAGAUUUUCCAUUAGACCAGACACAGGCAUCAGCGUUGAAGUUUCUGUAGGAAGCCGUGAAGGGAGCAUGCGUCCAAUCUGUCUUGACAAGGCCACCUCUUGUAGCCCAGUCAUCAGCAUUCCAGAGAGAUGAGUAUAUUCUCAUUGGCUGAUUCUUUGGGAAUGCAACUCCAAUUGACUCUGAGUUCUUGAACUCUCUUAUGGGAGUACCAUCCACAGAGAAGCUGAAAAUUAAGUAAACAUUGAUAAGUCUAAGCAGAUUGAAUGACAAGGAAAGAAGAAAUGAUGGAGAUUGAAGGAAAAUAUUGCUUACACAAUGCGCUGAGGAUUCCAGAGGAUAGAAUAGGUGUGAAAGUCAGCAGUGGGGUCAAACCAGAGGUGAAAUUGUUGUUCUUUGUCACCUUUGCCAUUUGUGAAUACAUUGGUAUGCAGAGUGUAAGGGUCACCACUUAAAUUCCCCAAGAACUCGAAGUCUAUCUCAUCCCAUGUUGAUCCUGGCGAUUUUAACUGCGUGAACAAAAAGUCAAAGGUCUAUAUGUCAGAUACAUGAUGAUCAAACAUGCAUAUUGUUUAUUCAUAUAAAGGCAGGAACUUACAUAAUAAGCAGUGACAGUGCCGGCAGAGUUGCCAGGGACUAGUUUGAGUUGCAUAUCAAUCUUGCCGAAUAGAUACUCAUUCUUGGACUGGAAGCCGGAGCCAGAGGCUUUAUCAAGGGAAAGAGUAAGAAGCUGGCCGUUGUUGAGUAUAUUAGCACGCCCGUCUCCCCAAGUGAUAUCAAAAUCUUGGUGGAAGUUACCAGCAGAGGCAACCAUCAAAGAGCCAAGAAGCAGCAGCGACAGAUGCAAUACUGAAGCCAUGGAAGCUUUCGUCUGAGCAACAACAAGAUAGAAGAAUUUGAGUUGGAGAGAAGUUUGAAAUUUUUGAAAGUGAAGCGAUGAGUGUGUUUGGGAUCUCACCAGGGUUUGGUAUUUAUAGCUUGAUUGAGCUGGUGAAGGUGAGUAUAACGAAAGCAGAGGAAAGUAAUGGGAAGCUCCAGUUAGUUCAGCUUCAGCUGUGGCCAGUUGUUUGCGUAAAAUAGCGUGAUGAAAUAAAAACAGCUGUCCGAAUCGCACUAACAGAACACGCUACAACAGGGACUUUUUUUUUUAUUACAAUACGCGGCUUUGCAUUACUUUUGAGACUCAAGUACUUAUUAUGUACUGCUGUUCUGUUCCCACCACCGGCUGACUCUUAUUAGAUUUUUUUUUUUUUCCAACCACCGCCAGUCAAAACACAAAAAAGAAAAUGUAGAAUUCACUGGGUGCUCUUCUCUCUCGAGAUUUUUUUUUUCCAUUUUAUGCUCAAAAGAAAAAGAAAAAAAAUUGUUCAAUGACGUACUUAAUUAACAGAUUUUUUUUUAUAACUAUAUUUAUUAUCAGGAAAUCAUUUGGUUCAAAAGCUUAAGACGUUAAACAGGAGUCCAGAAAAUAGCAUUAAAGUGUUGAAAGACCUGCCCGUGUGAAACAUGGAUCCAGUUUGAAGGUCAUGUCGUUCCAAAAGCGGAGAUAGGAGAUUGAAUUAGAGGUUCUUGAACAUACAAGAAUUGAAACAUAUACGUGUGUUAUUCGCAAAAAAUUGAGCACGCUGAGAUUUGAACAAGAAACCUUUGCUAUGUAAAAACGAAAAUGGCUUGACCCAAGAAAAUUAAAGACAAGUCUUUACUGGAGUCCCUAACAUGAAACAUGGAUCUAACAUCUAAGAAAUAUGUAUCCCUAUAUUUCCGAUACAGAUGCUUCCUAGUAACAUGAAACUGUGAAUUUGUAUCCUAAUUUUAGGUUAAUUGAUAACACAUACUUCCUGGUGAUUUCCUGUGUAAUAAAACGCAUAUGGAAUUGGAAGAUAUGCUUAUUAUUAUUAUUAAGGAAUUUAUAGAUAUUGGUAUUUAAAUCGAACGGACUGAAGAUUUUGCUGUUUUGUAUACUACCACUUAUACUAGAGAAUGUUUUAUUUGUUUAACUGGAAAGGCGGUGGUGGCAUGGCGAGGUUGGCUCGCCUUGAAAUAUCAACACUCGAGAGCUGGCUCGCACCUUGUCCUCCUAUCAAUCUCUCAUUGUUAAUUAACAAGCACAUUCCUCAUCCAAUAACGGUAUGCAUCACUCUUCCUCAUCGACUUGUGUAAGUUCACUCGGUUAGUUUUUUUAAUUUUAUUUUUGCCAUUUUACCCUUUUACUGCCUUAUCAAAUACUAAUCAAUGGCCAAAAUUUCUCCUCGAUUGACACAAAUACGGUAACGCCCACGCGCAGUACAUUUUCUUCUCAUUCUGGUGGAGACUCAUUUGCUCUUUUAUCUUCAUGCUUCCUCGAUAAUUCUUCAUAUUCCAAUCUAGGGUCUAAAAGCUUUAUUAAUGAGUCAUCAUGUCAAUACCUUUAAUUAGGCUUAUAACUAUAUGCUAAAGCUUACGAAGAAUAACAACAAAGAAGAACAAAAUCUUUUGAAAUAGUAAUAUUAUGUUUACUUAGUUAGCAUACUUAAUUUGUAUACCACGCAAGUACGCAUAACAUUAUCCUUUUUUAAAUUCAUUAACCAGUGUUACAUAUGGUAAAAAUUGGACUAACAUGCCAUUUUAUUGAUUACAGAGAAACAAAGAAUCUGACUCCAGAAUCUACAUGAAUUGAAUAACCAUUGAAUGAUUACACGAAAGAAUAAAAUAAUUUUUAAGUGUCUUGUUGAUUAUUUUCUCUAGGAGAUUCUGCAUUCUGCAGGAAGGCCCUGAGGAAAUCUCUUUGUAUCAGUGCAGUAAUUGUAAAUCAUGUAAUUCUUCUGCACCCAUUUCAGCCUACUUUGAUUUGUUGAAUCUAGCUCUUGUGAGAACCAAGCACCGUUGCUGGAUGUAGA
rnacentral:lncRNA from 1 species